rnacentral:rRNA from 1 species
UACGUAGGUGGCAAGCGUUGUCCGGAAUUAUUGGGCGUAAAGCGCGCGCAGGCGGCCUGAUAAGUAGGGGUGAAAUCCUGCGGCUUAACCGCAGGGCUGCCUUCUAAACUGUCGGGCUCGAGCACGGUAGAGGCAGAUGGAAUUCCCGGUGUAGCGGUGGAAUGCGUAGAGAUCGGGAAGAACAUCAGUGGCGAAGGCGGUCUGCUGGGCCGUUGCUGACGCUGAGGCGCGACAGCGUGGGGAGCAACAGG